CGUGGGUAACCUGCCCAAGAGAUCGGGAUAACACCUGGAAACAGAUGCUAAUACCGGAUAACAACAGAUGAUGCCUAUCAACUGUUUAAAAGAUGGUUCCGCUAUCACUCUUGGAUGGACCUGCGGUGCAUUAGCUAGUUGGUAGGGUAACGGCCUACCAAGGCGAUGAUGCAUAGCCGAGUUGAGAUACUGAUCGGCCACAUUGGGACUGAGACACGGCCCAAACUCCUACGGGAGGCAGCAGCG
rnacentral:rRNA from 1 species